rnacentral:lncRNA from 1 species
UGGAAGUCUAAAUGCGGUAAGUGUGAACGGAAUCGCCACUCUCGCAAAGAAUGCACCCUAGAAGUAGAAUUGUGUCAUCAUUGUCAUCAGCUUGUCAUCAGCCUACUCAUAUCAUGGCAGAUUUCUAGCGUUUAGCGGUUGGGGUGGCUCAGGUUGAUUUGCGAGUGCUUCUACAGGGAGGGGGAGCAGAACCCUAAGACACUACGGGUAUGUAUCAUAUUCUUCUCUUUUACGCUUAAAUCAUUAUGCUAAUAAUUCCAUAACUUGAGGACAAGUUAUGGAUUUCACCAAAAUCAAUUAAUUCAAAAAUUCUGACUAAAAAGUCAAACAAUUUGCCUAUGAUCUAAUUUAAAUCAUAAGAUAAGAUAAUUCAUAUCAAACAAGUUUCUAGAAAUUAGCCUAACCAUAUAAACUAAUACAAUUCAUGAAACUUUGACAAUUAUCUUUUAUUUGGAUGAUAAUCAUCAUUACCAUAUCAAGAAAAUCAGAUUUUAUGAACUAAAAUAUUUUUUGGUAAUGAUUCUAAUCCAAAACAGGCCAAAAAACUCGAAAAACUGUUGUCUGGACAGGCAACUCGCCGAGCCCCAUACUGGACUCGACGAGUCCAAGGUAAACUUCAACCUACUCGUCAAGUACAAGAAUGGACUCGCCACGAAACUUAUGCGAAGGGUGAAGGAAUGCAUGAGCUUGUGCAUGGAAGUCUAAAUGCGGUAAGUGUGAACGGAAUCGCCACUCUCGCAAAGAAUGCACCCUAGAAGUAGAAUUGUGUCAUCAUUGUCAUCAGCUUUCAUCAGCCUACUCAUAUCAUGGCAGAUUUCUAGCGAUUAGUGGUUGGGGUGGCUCAGGUUGAAUUGCGAGUGCUUCUACAGGGAGGGGGAGCAGAACCCUACGACACUACAGGUAUGUAUCAUAUUCUUCUCUUUUUCGCUUAAAUCAUUAUGCUAAUAAUUCCAUAACUUGAGGACAAGUUAUGGAUUCCACCAAAAUCAAUUAGAUCAAAAAUUCUAACUAAAAAAUCAAACAAUUUGCCUAUGAUCUAAUUAAACUCAUAAGAUAAGAUAAUUCAUAUCAAACAAGUUUCAAGAAAUUAGCCUAACCAUAUAAACUAAUACAAAUCAUGAAACUUUGACAAUUAUCUUUUGUUUGGAUGAUAAUCAUCAUUACCAUAUCAACAAAAUCAGAUUUUAUGAACUAAAAUAUUUUUUGGUAAUGAUUCUAAUCCAAAACAGGCCAAAAAAACUCGCAAAAUUGUUGUCUGGUCAAGCAACAAGUCGAGCCCCAUACUGGACUCGACGAGUCCAAGGUAAACUUCAACCUACUCGUCAAGUACAAGAAUGGACUCGCCACGAAACUUAUGCGAAGGGUGAAGGAAUGCAUGAGCUUGUGCAUGGAAGUCUAAAUGCGGAAAGUGUGAACGGAAUCGCCACUCUCGCAAAGAAUGCACCCUAGAAGUAGAAUUGUGUCAUCAUUGUCAUCAGCUUGUCAUCAGCUUGCUCAUAUCAUGGUAGAUUUCUAGCGUUUAGUGGUUGGGAUGGCUCAGGUUGAAUUGCGAGUGCUUCUAUAAGGAGGGGGAGUAGAACUCUAAGAUAGUGCGGGUGUGUAUCAUAUUCUUCUCUUUUACGCUUAAAUCAUAAUGCUAAUAAUUCCAUAACUUGAGGACAAGUUAUGGAUUUCACUAAAAUCAAUUAGAUCAAAAAUUCUAAUUAAAAAAUCAAACAAUUUGCCUAUGAUCUAAUUCAACUCAUAAGAUAAGAUAAUUCAUAUGAAACAAGUUUCUAGAAAUUAGCCUAACCAUAUAAACUAAUACAAUUCAUGAAACUUUGACAAUUAUCUUUUAUUUGGAUGAU